rnacentral:rRNA from 1 species
AUUGAACGCUGGCGGCAGGCUUAACACAUGCAAGUCGAGCGGGGUGAUGGUGCUUGCACUAUCACUUAGCGGCGGACGGGUGAGUAAUGCUUAGGAAUCUGCCUAUUAGUGGGGGACAACAUCUCGAAAGGGAUGCUAAUACCGCAUACGUCCUACGGGAGAAAGCAGGGGAUCACUUGUGACCUUGCGCUAAUAGAUGAGCCUAAGUCGGAUUAGCUAGUUGGUGGGGUAAAGGCCUACCAAGGCGACGAUCUGUAGCGGGUCUGAGAGGAUGAUCCGCCACACUGGGACGGGGACCCGGCCCAGACUCCUACGGGAGCCAGCAGUGGGGAAUAUUGGACAAUGGGGGGAACCCUGAUCCAGCCAUGCCGCGUGUGUGAAGAAGGCCUUAUGGUUGUAAAGCACUUUAAGCGAGGAGGAGGCUCUUUUGGUUAAUACCCAAGAUGAGUGGACGUUACUCGCAGAAUAAGCACCGGCUAACUCUGUGCCAGCCGCCGCCGUAA